UACGUAGGGGGCUAGCGUUGUCCGGAUUUAUUGGGCGUAAAGAGCGUGUAGGCGGCCAGGUAGGUCUGCUGUGAAAACUCGAGGCUCAACCUCGAGAUGUCGGCGGAAACCAUCUGGCUAGAGUCCGGAAGAGGAGAGUGGAACUCCUGGUGUAGCGGUGAAAUGCGCAGAUAUCAGGAAGAACACCCGUGGCGAAAGCGGCUCUCUGGAACGGUACUGACGCUGAGACGCGAAAGCGUGGGGAGCGAACAGG
rnacentral:rRNA from 1 species